rnacentral:tRNA from 1 species
GGCACUGUGGCUCAGUGGUAGAGUGCUAGCCUAAAAAGCUAGCAAAAAAGAUCAAGGACAGCACCC